GACGAACGCUGGCGGCGUGCUUAACACAUGCAAGUCGAACGGAAGGGCCCGGCUCUUGUGGGUUUCUCGUGUGGCGAACGGGGGAGUAACACGUGAGUAACCUGCCCUUGACUUUGGGAUAACUUCAGGAAACUGGGGCUAAUACCGGAUAGGAGCUUCUGCUGCAUGGUGGUGGUUGGAAAGUUUCGGCGGUUGGGGAUGGACUCGCGGCUUAUCCGCUUGUUUGGGGGGUAGUGGCUGUCCAGGGCUUUGACGGGUAGCCGGCCUGGGCGGGGGGCCGGGGACAAUGGGACUGAGAGAGGGACCAGACUGCUACGUGAGGCAGAAGGCGGGAAUAUUACGGAAUGAGGGCGAGUGUGUUGCAGAAGUCUCGCGAGCGGGAUGCCGGCUUUCGGGUGGUAAACAGAUUUGGAAGGUACUGAACAGAGAUUGACGGUAAUGAGUAAGAAAGCACCGGCUAACUACGUG
rnacentral:rRNA from 1 species